rnacentral:rRNA from 1 species
AGAGUUUGAUCCUGGCUCAGAAUGAACGCUGGCGGCAUGCCUAACACAUGCAAGUCGAACGAAGGCUUCGGCCUUAGUGGCGCACGGGUGCGUAACGCGUGGGAAUCUGCCCUCAGGUUCGGAAUAACAGCGAGAAAUUGCUGCUAAUACCGGAUGAUAUCGCGAGAUCAAAGAUUUAUCGCCUGAGGAUGAGCCCGCGUAGGAUUAGCUAGUUGGUGUGGUAAAGGCGCACCAAGGCGACGAUCCUUAGCUGGUCUGAGAGGAUGAUCAGCCACACUGGGACUGAGACACGGCCCAGACUCCUACGGGAGGCAGCAGUGGGGAAUAUUGGACAAUGGGCGGAAGCCUGAUCCAGCAAUGCCGCGUGAGUGAUGAAGGCCUUAGGGUUGUAAAGCUCUUUUACCCGGGAUGAUAAUGACAGUACCGGGAGAAUAAGCUCCGGCUAACUCCGUGCCAGCAGCCGCGGUAAUACGGAGGGAGCUAGCGUUAUUCGGAAUUACUGGGCGUAAAGCGCACGUAGGCGGCUUUGUAAGUUAGAGGUGAAAGCCUGGAGCUCAACUCCAGAAUUGCCUUUAAGACUGCAUCGCUUGGAUCCAGGAGAGGUGAGUGGAAUUCCGAGUGUAGAGGUGAAAUUCGUAGAUAUUCGGAAGAACACCAGUGGCGAAGGCGGCUCACUGGACUGGUAUUGACGCUGAGGUGCGAAAGCGUGGGGAGCAACCAGGAUUAGAUACCCUGGUAGUCCACGCCGUAAACGAUGAUAACUAGCUGUCGGGGCUCUUAGAGCUUCGGUGGCGCAGCUAACGCAUUAAGUUAUCCGCCUGGGGAGUACGGCCGCAAGGUUAAAACUCAAAGGAAUUGACGG